rnacentral:rRNA from 1 species
CCUACGGGAGGCAGCAGUGAGGAAUAUUGGUCAAUGGACGAGAGUCUGAACCAGCCAAGUAGCGUGAAGGAUGACUGCCCUAUGGGUUGUAAACUUCUUUUAUAUGGGAAUAAAAUGUUCCACGUGUGGGAUUUUGUAUGUACCAUAUGAAUAAGGAUCGGCUAACUCCGUGCCAGCAGCCGCGGUAAUACGGAGGAUCCGAGCGUUAUCCGGAUUUAUUGGGUUUAAAGGGAGCGUAGGUGGAUUGUUAAGUCAGUUGUGAAAGUUUGCGGCUCAACCGUAAAAUUGCAGUUGAAACUGGCAGUCUUGAGUACAGUAGAGGUGGGCGGAAUUCGUGGUGUAGCGGUGAAAUGCUUAGAUAUCACGAAGAACUCCGAAUGCGAAGGCAGUUCACUGGACUGCAACUGACACUGAGGCUCGAAAGUGUGGGUAUCAAACAGGAUUAGAUACCCCAGUAGUC